UUGAAAUGUAGUUAUUGAUGCUUUAAGUUGAAUGUUACUAUUUAAUUUUUGGGUUUUUUAUCCUAUGUGAUUAUAAUUAGUUAUAUGUUUGUGGUUUGUGUUUUUUUUAUGAUUGUUGUAACUAGUUAUUUAGAGGUUGUUUGGAUUGCGGAAUUGAGUGAAUGAUUUUGGGUGAUUUGGGUAUUAAAAUCUCUAAGUUAGAGAUUUGGCUAAAUAUAUUAUUUGGAUCACAAUUAAUUGUCAGAGAAUGUUAGAGAAUUGAAUUUUUGAUGUGGGCUUUUAGAGAUUUUGAGCACACAUUAAAUAUUCAUUCCAUUUCAUUUUAUUUUUGAAUUAUUUAGUCCCAACAAUCGCAUAAAAUAACACAUCCAAACAUUCUAUUUUUCAAAAUAGCAUGACCCUCAUAUUCUCUAACUAUUUGAAUUCUCUUUUUACGAAUUCACCUGCACAUACGAACAUUUGGUCCACUGCAAUUUUAAGUGCUUAUAUACCUUCAUUCUUCCUUUUUGGAUUUUUGAUAUUCUUGUAACUAGUUAUUCGUUCAUUUUCUAGUAUAACUAUUAUCUUGUAAAAAAUCUGCUCUUUGACUUUGCUGUUUUAUCCACAUACAUCCAUUUCCUAACUCUAAAGUCGUGAAAAAUCUGACAUUGCAUGUCGUCCGAGAUGUUCACCAAAACGAAUUGCAGAAUGCAUUUGUGUAGCAUCUAAUGAUCGUAUAGAAACAUAAUAUUCAGGUAUUCUGUGUUAUCUUAUUUCGUUACUUACUGCCAUACAUAUAUAUACACACAGGGACUGCUCCUAAAGGAGCAGAAUCACCUCUUGGUAAUCCCUACAAAUCAGGGAUUACCCUACCUACCAACCUACUAUAUUAUUUAGCUCCUAAUUAGGGUAAUUAGGCUAGAUAUGAUUCAGCUAAUCCUACAUAACUAUAUGCUGUAAUUCUACACUCCCCCUCAAGCUUGGCUGUAGAUGCUGUAAAGGCCAAGCUUGCCUUGUAAAUUGCAGAAAUCAUCUCUAGGCAAUGCCUUCGUAAGAAUGUCUGCAAUUUGUAACUUAGAAGGGACAUACUCCAUCUCGAACUCCUUGUUAAUCACCUUUUCAGAAAUGAAAUGACGAUCCAGUUCAACAUGUUUAGUACGGUCAUGAUGAACUGGAUUUUUGACAAUGCUUAGGGCUGCUUGGCUGUCACACAGCACCCUAACAGGAUUCUCAUUCUCCACCCUGAGCUCCUUUAGGAUACGCCUUAGCCAAAUCCCUUCACACAUACCAUCUGCGAGAGCUCUGUACUCUGCCUCCGCACUGCUUCUUGAAACAACGGCCUGCUUCUUGCUCCGCCAGGUCACCAGGUUUCCCCAAACGUAGGUGCAGUAAGCUGAAGUCGACCGUCGAUCAGUGAGGUCUCCAGCCCAACUAGCAUCUGUGUAAAUGGAAAUCCUGCGCCCAGUGUGUUUCUGGAAUAGUAAUCCAACACCUGGUGUGCCCUUUAAGUAUCUUAGAACCCUCAUCACUGCCAACAGAUCUAGAAUAUAUUUGCGUUGGGAUAAGCUCAGUCCAUUGCGUGAUCGUGCCACUUCAAUGCCUAGGAAAUACCUCAAGGUACCUAGGUCUUUUAUCUCAAAUUCUAGUGCCAAUCUCUUCUUGAGAUUUCUGAUUUCUGGUUCAUCAUCCCCUGUGAUGAUAAUAUCAUCGACAUAAACAAUGAGUAUUGACCUCUUCCCUUCCUGAUUUUGCUUCACAAACAUGGUAUGAUCAGUCUGGCACUGAUAAUACCCAUAUCUCUUCACAGACUGAGAAAAUCUAUCAAACCAGGCCCGUGGUGACUGCUUAAGGCCAUAUAAUGCCUUCUUAAGCCUGCACACCAUCCCUGGUUCAGCUGUGACGCCUGCUGGAACAUUCAUAUACACUUCUUCGCUUAAAUCUCCAUUUAGAAACGCGUUUUUCACAUCUAGCUGGUAGAGGGGCCAGUCUAGAUUCACUGCCAGACUUAGUAAGACUCUCACAGUCUUGAGUUUUGCAACAGGAGCAAAGGUCUCCUCGUAGUCCACUCCAUAGCACUGAGUGAAUCCCCUAGCUACGAGUCGAGCCUUAUACCUCUCAAUCUUCCCUUCAGACGUAUACUUCACAGUGAAUAUCCAUUUACAGUCAACUGUGGACUUUCCAACUGGUAGUCGUACGGUGUCCCAUGUCUGAUUUUUCAGCAGUGCCUUGAUUUCUUCUAACACUGCUGUCCUCCAGUGAGGUAUACGCAUGGCUUCUUCAAUGGAAUUAGGGAUCCGUGUUUGAUCAAGGACUCCCACAAACGCUCUGUAAUUUUUGCUUAAGUUUCCGUAGGAGACCCACCUCUCAAUGGGGUGAUUUGUGCAUGCUCUGGUUCCUUUCCUGUGAGCGAUUGUACGGUUGUGCAUGCUCUUGUUCCUUUCCUGUGAGCAAUUGGGAGGUACGUUGUGGCAUCCACCUGAGCUUCCAUUGUACCAUCACCCUCAUCACCCUGAGUUUCCUCAGUUUGCUGCUCACCACCUUCACCCAUAUUACUAGAUUCAGCCCUUUCCUCCAUGUGCUCUGACUCACUUUCAUGGGAGGCUAAGACCUCAGUAGAUUCCAGGUCAGGAUGAGCAUGUGUGAUGUCCGCUACCUUCUUCCUGCGUUGAUAGACCAGAAGAGGAGGGUUGUGGCUUUGGUUUUGAUGUUUAGAUUCAGGAAGGACCUUAGGGGGCUCUAGAGUAUUACCCUGAGAUUCUAGGGUAAUAAUACUGCCAAUGGAAGACUCGAUACUAGUAGAACCAGAAGACUCCCCCUGAGGCUGACAGUGGGAGUAGAAAGGACGAUGUUCAAAGAACGUGACAUUUUUUGAGUGAUAAACUUUGCGAGUUGAGGGAGAAUAGCAUUUAUACCCACUAUGAUGGGAAGAGUACCCUAGGAAAACACAUUUUUCAGCCCUAGGGUCUAACUUGGAACGAAGGGAUGAGUCUAAAUGCACGAAAACCGUGCAGCCAAAGACUCUAAGGGGAAGGUCUGAUGAGAGAGCAUGGCUAUGCGGAAAUAUACUAAGCAGAAUACUACGAGGAGUUUUAAACCUUAGGGUACGACUCGGGAGGCGAUUGAUGAGAAUAAAACUUAGGGUACGACUCGGGAGGCGAUUGAUGAGAUAUGUGGCUGUUAGGAUAGCAUCACCCCAUAGAAAUUUUGGGGCAUUAGCAGCAAACAGGGAUGCCCUUGCAACCUCCAGCAAGUGACGGUUUUUGCGUUCAGCAAUUCCGUUUUGCUAUGGGGUGUAAGGGCACGAACUGCUGUGAGCAAUUCCAUUAGCAACAAGGAAAGAGUCUAAGGACUGAUUGAAAUAGUCCUUAGCAUUAUCACUAUGCAAGACUCGAAUAGGAGCAGCAAACUGAGUUUUGAUUUGGUUCUGAAAUGUCUGGAAAAUUUGUUUUGUUUCAGUUUUUGAUUUCAUGAGAUAGGUCCAUGUUAGGCGGGUGUGAUCAUCAAUGAAUGUAAUGAACCACCUAAAACCACUGACUGUUUUAACAGCGCAUGGACCCCAAAUGUCGCUGUGAAUAAUUGAGAAAGGAUAUGAUGGUUUGUAUGGUAUGCUACGAUAAACUGCUUGUGUUUGUUUAGCAAGCUGACAUAUAUCACAGGAAAACAUACUAGGGUUUUUAUUGAUGAAAAGGUUCGGAAACAAUUUUUUAAGGUAGGAAAAACUAGAAUGACCUAGGCGAUAAUGCCACAUCAUUACUGGACAUUCUAACUGACUCGAUGUAGAACUCAAAGACACUGACUUGGAAACCUCUCCUUCUGGUCUUGGUCUGUUUAUUGUCUUUAGUAGGUAUAGCCCAUCACACAGCUCAAACCUGCCAAUCAUCCUCUGAGAUCCCGCCUCCUGUAAUGUACAGUGAGAUGGAUCAAACGUUAGUCGACAAUUCAAGUCUUUGGUGAUUUGACUAACGGAAAUUAAGUUGCAAUUUAAUUUUGGCACAUA
rnacentral:lncRNA from 1 species